rnacentral:rRNA from 1 species
AGCAGUCGCCGCGGUAAAACGGAGGGGGCUAGCGUUGUUCGGAAUUACUGGGCGUAAAGCGCACGUAGGCGGCUUGGUAAGUUAGAGGUGAAAGCCUGGAGCUCAACUCCAGAAUUGCCUUUAAGACUGCCGAGCUAGCAGGUGAGAGAGGUAAGUGGAAUUCCGAGUGUAGAGGUGAAAUUCGUAGAUAUUCGGAAGAACACCAGUGGCGAAGGCGGCUUACUGGCUCAUACUGGACGCUGAGGUGCGAAAGCGUGGGGAGCAAACAGGAUUAGAUACCCGCGUAGUCCCUGUCUCUUAUAC